CAGUAGCCGCGGUAAUACGGAGGAUCCAAGCGUUAUCCGGAAUCAUUGGGUUUAAAGGGUCCGUAGGCGGUUUAGUAAGUCAGUGGUGAAAGCCCAUCGCUCAACGGUGGAACGGCCAUUGAUACUGCCGAACUUGAAUUAUUAGGAAGUAACUAGAAUAUGUAGUGUAGCGGUGAAAUGCUUAGAGAUUACAUGGAAUACCAAUUGCGAAGGCAGGUUACUACUAAUUGAUUGACGCUGAUGGACGAAAGCGUGGGGAGCGAACAGGAUUAGAUACCCGCGUAGUCCCUGUCUCUUAUAC
rnacentral:rRNA from 1 species